GGACUACCGGGGUAUCUAAUCCUGUUUGCUCCCCACGCUUUCGUGUCUCAACGUCAGAAAUGGACCAAGAAGCUGCCUUCGCCAUCGGUGUUCCUCUCGAGAUCUACGCAUUUUACCGCUACUCCGAGAAUUCCACUUCUCUCUUCCAUCCUCAAGCUUAUCAGUAUCUACCGCUGACCUCCGGUUAGGCCGGAGAAUUUAACAGUUGACUUAAGAAGCCGUCUACACACCCUUUACGCCCAAUAAUGCCGAAUAACGCUUGCACCCCUCGUAUUACCGCGGCUGCUGGCAC
rnacentral:rRNA from 1 species